rnacentral:rRNA from 1 species
UGGGGAAUAUUGCACAAUGGGCGAAAGCCUGAUGCAGCGACGCCGCGUGAGGGAUGACGGCCUUCGGGUUGUAAACCUCUUUCAGCAGGGACGAAGCGCAAGUGACGGUACCUGCAGAAGAAGCACCGGCUAACUACGUGCCAGCAGCCGCGGUAAUACGUAGGGUGCAAGCGUUGUCCGGAAUUACUGGGCGUAAAGAGUUCGUAGGCGGUUUGUCGCGUCGUUUUUGAAAACCAGCAGCUCAACUGCUGGCUUGCAGGCGAUACGGGCAGACUUGAGUACUGCAGGGGAGACUGGAAUUCCUGGUGUAGCGGUGAAAUGCGCAGAUAUCAGGAGGAACACCGGUGGCGAAGGCGGGUCUCUGGGCAGUAACUGACGCUGAGGAACGAAAGCGUGGGUAGCGAACAGG